GACGAACGCUGGCGGCGUGCCUAAUACAUGCAAGUUGAGCGAUGAAGAUUGGUGCUUGCACCAAUUUGAAGAGCAGCGAACGGGUGAGUAACGCGUGGGGAAUCUGCCUUUGAGCGGGGGACAACAUUUGGAAACGAAUGCUAAUACCGCAUAACAACUUUAAACAUAAGUUUUAAGUUUGAAAGAUGCAAUUGCAUCACUCAAAGAUGAUCCCGCGUUGUAUUAGCUAGUUGGUGAGGUAAAGGCUCACCAAGGCGAUGAUACAUAGCCGACCUGAGAGGGUGAUCGGCCACAUUGGGACUGAGACACAGCCCAAACUCCUACGGGAGGCAGCAGUAGGGAAUCUUCGGCAAUGGACGAAAGUCUGACCGAGCAACGCCGCGUGAGUGAAGAAGGUUUUCGGAUCGUAAAACUCUGUUGGUAGAGAAGAACGUUGGUGAGAGUGGAAAGCUCAUAAAGUGACGGUAACUACCCAGAAAGGGACGGCUAACUACGUG
rnacentral:rRNA from 1 species